GGGCAUGUGGUGUAGUUGGUUAUCACGCUCGCUUAGCAUCUUUGGAGCUUGCGAGAGGGGUCCGGUUCAAUCCCGGACAUGUCCA
rnacentral:tRNA from 1 species